rnacentral:rRNA from 1 species
UGGGGAAUAUUGCACAAUGGGCGAAAGCCUGAUGCAGCAACGCCGCGUGAGUGAUGAAGGCCUUCGGGUUGUAAAGCUCUGUCUUUUGGGACGAUAAUGACGGUACCAAAGGAGGAAGCCACGGCUAACUACGUGCCAGCAGCCGCGGUAAUACGUAGGUGGCAAGCGUCGUCCGGAUUUACUGGGCGUAAAGGAUGCGUAGGCGGAUUUUUAAGUGAGAUGUGAAAUACCCGGGCUUAACUUGGGUGCUGCAUUUCAAACUGGGAAUCUAGAGUGCGGGAGAGGAGAAUGGAAUUCCUAGUGUAGCGGUGAAAUGCGUAGAGAUUAGGAAGAACACCAGUGGCGAAGGCGAUUCUCUGGACCGUAACUGACGCUGAGGCAUGAAAGCGUGGGUAGCAAACAGGAUUAGAUACCCUGGUAGUCCACGCCGUAAACGAUGAGUACUAGGUGUAGGAGGUAUCGACCCCUUCUGUGCCGCAGUUAACACAAUCAAGUACUCCGCCUGGGAAGUACGAUCGCAAGAUUAAAACUCAAAUGAAUUGAC